rnacentral:misc_RNA from 1 species
UUUGAUUCUAACCUGACCUUCCAACAGAUAUGUCACAGGAAAGAGAGCUACAAGCAAAGCAAAUACCCAUGGUAGCAGCUUUGUGCUUGAAGCAGAUGGAAAAUGGGUGAAGACGACAAACACAGAGGUGAACAAACACACAAGUGCAGACCAUGGUGACAACAAUGAGAGCAUGCAGAACUGCAGCUUGCAGGAAGUACUUGGCUGAUAUAUAUAUUCCAAGAGCAACCCCAAUAGCGAUUGAGUAAAAUGCCCUUAGCUCUACCAUGUACUUUAUGGGUAUUAUAGAUGUCACGGCUGCUAAAGUGAGCAGAAUUGCCACAAUAAGCAGCCAAGAUGGCCAGGUAGGUUUUGAUGCCAUGAAGCCAUAGAUGGAGAUGUCAUCAGAAGAUUGACGAGCUGCUUUAAUUAUGUCAGAAUGAUAAGUCCAUGCCAAUGGGAUUGGCGGCUGCAUUAAAAUAAACAAUGCACCAGUUGCCACCACUAGCACUAGGCAUCUCUUAGCGGACAAGACAUGAGAGAAGUGCAGAGCAACGAUUGGUACACAAGCCAAUCCUGUCAAGACAAUACAGAAGCCCAAAAGUAAACCAUCAGAAGGAGGCCUCCCAUUCCACCAUUGUAGAGCUUCAAAAAUGGUUUCACGGCAAAACCAAACUGACAGAGCAACCACACCAGCAUGUACAUAACCUUGCCAUGGUUUCAUCUUUGAGGCUGUUCGCGACUUAUCCUUGUAAAGAAGUAAUGGGGGAGAGACAGCCAGUAAUAGUACAGCAGAAACCCAUACAACAGAUUUUGAUGAAAUAAACAGCAUGGCCAACUUCGAAGGAUAUAGGCAUGUCAAAAUCCAAACUGCCUUGAGUCUAAUUCGAUGAUCCACAGAUAGUCUUCUCACCAAAGCCAAACCAACAAAAGUUGUCAUAAUAACCAUAUAGCUUGGGUACAUCACUUCAUCAUCCAAUCCGUAGAAGUAUAUGCCCAAGUUAUUAAAAAAUCGAUUCUCAAUAUAGCAUAACAGCAACGCAUGGCUGAUCAAGCCAAGCUCAACUAAAAAAUGAAAUUUUGAUGGAAGAAGAGC